AUGACAUAUCCAUGGUGUAUGCUCUUUGCGGAUGAUGUGGUUCUAGUUGGUGAUAAUCGGAUGGGGGUUAAUAGAAAGUUAGAGCUAUGGAGACAAACCUUUGAAUCGAAAGGUUUUAGGCUUAGUAGAACUAAAACCGAUUACAUGAGGUGCGGUUUCACUACUGCUAAGCAUGAAGAGGAGGAGGUUAGCCUUGAUGGGCAGGUGGUACCUCAGAAGGACACCUUUCGAUAUUUGGGGUCAAUGUUGCAGAAGGAUGGUGAUAUCGAUGAAGACGUGAGCCAUCGAAUCAAAGCCAUCUAUGACAAGAGAGUGCCACAAAAGCUAAAAGGCAGGUUCUAUAGGAUGGCGAUUCUACCCGCAAUGUAG
rnacentral:rRNA from 1 species